GGCCAGGUAGCUCAGAUGGUAGAGCGCGGCCCUGAAAAGGCCGGCGUCGGCGGUUCGAGUCCGUCCCUGGCCACCA
rnacentral:tRNA from 1 species